rnacentral:lncRNA from 1 species
CACUAUGCCCACAAAUAUUAUCGUUCCAAGGAACUGGCUUGAGCUUGAAAAAAGAUUGUGCAAGAGUAAUGUCUACAAUGAAGAGAGCAAGUUAGUUAAACUCCAAAAUUCUUGGUCAACUCGGUCCUUCAAUCCUAGCCAAAUGAGGACUUUUGGCGGUUAUGGCAAUAAAGGUUAGUCUACGGUUUGGAAUUUUCACUCGGAGCUUUCUUAGGCAGAGGAGGAGUUCCUGCUUGAAAUUAUAACGAAUGGUAGUUUGUAGAUUGCAAUGAAUACAGUUAUGAAGGGAAAUGAAAUUGAUCAUUUACUAG